rnacentral:rRNA from 1 species
GACGAACGCUGGCGGCGUGCUUAACACAUGCAAGUCGAACGGAAAGGCCCUUCGGGGUACUCGAGUGGCGAACGGGUGAGUAACACGUGGGUGAUCUGCCCUGCACUUUGGGAUAAGCCUGGGAAACUGGGUCUAAUACCGAAUAGGACCACGCGCUUCAUGGUGUGUGGUGGAAAGCCUUUGCGGUGUGGGAUGGGCCCGCGGCGUAUCAGCUUGUUGGUGGGGUAAUGGCCUACCAAGGCGACGACGGGUAGCCGGCCUGAGAGGGUGACCGGCCACACUGGGACUGAGGGACGGCCCAGACUCCUACGGGAGGCAGCAGUGGGGAAUAUUGCACACUGGGCGCAAGCCUGAUGCAGCGACGCCGCGUGAGGGAUGACGGCCUUCGGGUUGUAAACCUCUUUCGCCAGGGACGGAGCGCAAGUGACGGUACCUGGAGAAGAAGCCCCGGCUAACUACGUGCCAGCCGCCGCCGUAAUAC